rnacentral:rRNA from 2 species
UAAUACGUAGGGGCCAAGCGUUAUCCGGAUUUACUGGGCGUAAAGCGCAUGUAGGCGGUCUACUAAGUCGGACGUGAAAGCUCCUGGCUCAACUAGGAGAGGUCGUUCGAAACUAGUAGACUAGAGGGUGGUAGAGGAGAGCGGAAUUCCAGGUGUAGCGGUGAAAUGCGUAGAUAUCUGGAGGAACACCAGUGGCGAAAGCGGCUCUCUGGCCCACUCCUGACGCUGAGAUGCGAAAGCCAGGGGAGAGAACGGGAUUAGAAACCCCGGUAUUCCUGGCCGUAAACGAUGUCAACUAGGCGUAGGAGGUUAUUGACCCCUUCUGUGCUGUAGCUAACGCGUUAAGUUGACCGCCUGGGGACUACGGCCGCAAGGCUAAAACUCAAAUGAAUUGACGG